rnacentral:rRNA from 1 species
AUGGAGAAGAAGCUGCCGCUGCCGCUGCCGCUGGCGCACGGGGAGGGGCUGUGGGCGCGGCCCUGGCGGUGGGCCAAGACCGCCUUCUUCCUCGUCUCCAUGCUCGCCUCGCUGCUCCUCGUCUGCGCGCCGCCGCUCCUCGUCGUCCUCCUCGACCUGCUCCUCCCGCCCGCGCUCCUCUCCAACUUCCUCCGCGCCUCCUCCGCACACACCCUCCUCGACCAGGCCAGGGGCUUCCACUUCCGCUCCUCCCUCGUCGACCUCCCCGCCGUCUCCGCCGCCCGCUCCCUCCUCAUCCUCUGCGCCUACACGGCGUGCGGCGGAGGCGCGGCCUACCUGUGGGUGGCGGCGGCCUGCAGCGUCGGCUCCCUCUUCUACGUCCUCGCCAAGGCCGUCGCCGUCUUCGGCGUGCCGGCCGACGGCGCCGCCGGCCUCGAGCUGCACGGCAAGGGCCAGCUCCUCGCCGUGGAGGCCAUGUUCCUCAUGUCGCUCGCGCUCGCCGCCGCGCACCUCGCCAUGGCAUACCGGGCCAGUAGCCGGGAGAAGCGCCGGCUGCACGUCGUCUACAGAAUCGACAUCGAAGCAGUAAGGUUAAAGGGAACCCACACGCCCAAGUCGCUGAAGCAAUGCAUCGUAUGA